CUUGUUUAUCUCUGUGACUUUAUUUCAGAUUAAACAGCACAGUAUAAUGUUCCAAAAGAGACCCAAAACAUAGAAUCCUUUCAGAGUAGGAGCUUCUUCUCUGGGUUUACUCGAUUGUGCAAGGGCCUUGCUUUGGUACUUGUUGCUGGACAUUCUCUACUGCAGUUAUUUCCUUUUGCUGUUUCCUAUCUUGCACUUAUUCCAGCAAGGACAAUUCCAUUUGCUUGGAACCUUAUAACUGCCGGUUACACGGAGCAAACACUGCCCGGGGUAUGUAUUUUUUUAAUGCUAGGCUAGUGAUAGUAAUUAUCGUUAUGUUUUGUAGGUAACUAAAUCCAUUUCGUUUUAAAAGUAAUGUGAUCACAUCUGUUGUUUUUCAUGUUAGUCCUAGUAUAUUUAUCAUGAAGUUUGCUUGUUAUAGAAAAGGUGAAAUUCUAUUCUGAAAAUUAUUCCCUUCAGUGUCGUAGUAUAUGUGAAUUACUGGUUGCAGUAUCUGCAUAUAAGCAUGAGAGCUGGCUGCAUGAAUUGCUGUGGUUUAGAAUUCUCACUUUUGCUAGGAUCCUUCAAGUGAAUGAUGGAAAAAGAUGUAUGAUGGGAGCUGGUUUCUAAAGCUUGAUGUAAUUUGCCAUAUUUCUGUUUUCUUUGAAUCUGUCUCACGUUUUCCAUCAUGAGUUCCACUCGAACACGAGGCAU